UAAGAAUGUGCCCGGCCUUGCUGAA
rnacentral:piRNA from 1 species